UGAUAACAUGGGUGGCAACUCACAACAGCUGUAUCCCUAUAUCUCCCAGAUAACAUGCUGGCAAUUCCAUCAUAUUCUCAUCUACAUUGCCACCAUUGGUGAUUAUAUAGCCUUGAGGAGAAACCCUUGUGACCUUUUUACUUCCUGUGUCUUAAUGAGGCUUUACCCACCCUCAAAGGAAUGUAUCAAUUUAGAGAAAAUAGAUACACAGGAUAUAGUUUAGUGAGGCUGGAUGCUUCUGACUGGUAGAGCAGAAGGUAGAGGCAUAGAUCUACUCGGGUGGCUCCCUGAAGCUCUACUCUGCCCUACUUCGAACAGACAGAAUCUUCCAAUUAUCUAUCUCCACACAAUGGUCACAACUUUAAAAAAGGAAAUUUCAAAGUUAUAGAAAAUCCCCACAUCAUGAAACAAAACGAUAUGUCUUUAAAUGUAAAAUUGAAACCUUAUUUGUUGUGUUUCCCCAUGAAUCAUGAAAGAAGAAAGGGAAUAGGGUGAUAUUUUGAGUUAACUGAGUUCUGAUAUAACUUUUUCAUGAAUUCUGAGGCAUGGGAUUUUAAACAUUAGCUUUCGUCAUAAGAGACAUUAAUAACUGAGUGUUGAGAAACUUCAAAAUUAGGAAUAUUGAUGAUGUACAUUAUUAUGAUGAGGAAUGUGAAUUCAUUAAGUUUUGCAGCUGUGAGGAGGCCCCGGCUGUAACAUCUGUCCCUUUGUUAAUGUCAGAAAUAGAUUUAGCCCUUUGGCAAGCUGACUCGUGUGCCCAUUCUCCAUCUCUGCUCUGUGGGAAACCUUUUGAAUUAUGUCCUUGGUCUUUGGGAAAAGCAAUCCAAUAAGCAGCAAUUUAUUUCAGUGUCUUCGUGCCUCGUUAAGAGGAAUAUCUCAAAUGCCAUUUCAUAGACUUUCAGACAAGCCGUAGAUAUGUGAAAGACAUUAGUUGUUUUCUUGUCUCCCUAUAUAUGCAU
rnacentral:lncRNA from 1 species